ensembl:snRNA U6 U6 spliceosomal RNA
CUGCUCGCUUUAGCAGCAUAUAUAACAAAAUUGGAAAUAUAUAGAGAAGAUUAGCAUGGCCCCUGUGCAAGGAUGACAUGCAAAUUCGUGAAGUGUUCCAUAUUUUA